rnacentral:pre_miRNA from 1 species
GAAGCUCCGUCUCAAAAUUCUUGUCUUAGAUUUGUCUAAAUACGGAUGUAUCAAGUCACAUUUUAGUAUUAGAUACAUCCGUAUCUAGACAAAUUUAAAACAAGAAUUUUAAGACGGAGGGAGUACUUA